rnacentral:sRNA from 1 species
AGGUUCCAUUUUACUCUUUUGCAUAUACCCGAAUACCACCAAUGCUUUCUCUAGCUUCCCAUUUUUACAGAGUCCAUCUAACAGAAUGUUGUAUGU